UACAGGAGGGCGAAGCGUUGUUCGGAAUUACGUGGCGUAAAGAGCUCGUAGGCGGUUUGGCAAGUCGGGUGUGAAAACUCCGGGCUCAACUCGGAGACGCCACUCGAUACUGCCAUGACUCGAGUCGGUAGGGGAGUGCGGAAUUCCUGGUGUAGCGGUGAAAUGCGCAGAUAUCAGGAGGAACACCGGUGGCGAAGGCGGCACUCUGGGCCGGUACUGACGCUGAGGAGCGAAAGCGUGGGGAGCGAACAGG
rnacentral:rRNA from 1 species